AUUGAACGCUGGCGGAAUGCUUUACACAUGCAAGUCGAACGGCAGCACGGACUUCGGUCUGGUGGCGAGUGGCGAACGGGUGAGUAAUAUAUCGGAACGUGCCCAGUCGUGGGGGAUAACGUAGUGUAAAUUACGCUAAUACCGCAUACGAUCUACGGUUGAAAGCGGGGGAUCGCAAGACCUCGCGCGAUUGGAGCGGCCGAUAUCAGAUUAGGUAGUUGGUGAGGUAAAGGCUCACCAAGCCGACGAUCUGUAGCUGGUCUGAGAGGACGACCAGCCACACUGGAACUGAGACACGGUCCAGACUCCUACGGGAGGCAGCAGUGGGGAAUUUUGGACAAUGGACGCAAGUCUGAUCCAGCCAUUCCGCGUGCAGGACGAAGGCCUUCGGGUUGUAAACUGCUUUUGUACAGAACGAAAAGGUCUCUAUUAAUACUAGGGGCUCAUGACGGUACUGUAAGAAUAAACACCGGCUAACUACGUGCCAGCAGCCGCCGUAA
rnacentral:rRNA from 1 species